CGGUAAUAUGUAGGGCGCAAGCGUUGUCCGGAAUUAUUGGGCGUAAAGAGCUCUUAGGCGGCUUGUCAUGUUGGAUGUGAAAGCCCGGGGCUUCACCCCGGGUCUGCAUUGGAUACGGUCUAGUUAGAGUGUGGUAGGGGAGAUCGGAUUUCCUGGUGUAGCGGUGAAAUGCCCAGAUAUCAUGAGGAAGCUCCGGU
rnacentral:rRNA from 1 species